GAUCCUAUUGACUUACAGCAGUGACAGCAAGAGCUGAUGGAUGGAGUGCGUGGGUAGGGUGAGUGCCCAGUCCAGUGGUCCAGGGCUCCGACAAGAGGAGACGUCUUCUGAGAGAACUACUCCGUUUCCAGCUCUGCUCAUUACUCAGGUUGCACGUCAUGAGUCUGAAAUUUAAGACCUAAUUAGGCAAACAGUUCAUCAGACAGCUACAAACAGUGCGUAAAGGACUGGUGUCUCCAGCCAAAGCGGCGAGGCCAGGUGGGAAUCAGGGGACUGUGAAGUCACAAACGGCGACCGAGCCAAUUGUAGAAGAUCAAAUCCCUCGGGUUAUUGCACUCAGUACACUCCGAUUAAUCACACGCAAUACUAAAGGGAAGAAAGGACUUCACGAACAGCUCCGAGGAGAGACGCAGGAAGCAGAAGUCACAGGAAAACUCUUGCAAGAGCCUCAAUUUACAAGAGCAUCAAUUGUGCACUCACCUAAGCCCUUUACGUACAUCAAUCAUUGCAUCUUUACAACACUUCUCAGGGUAUUUGCAAUUUCCAGAUGAAGAAAGGGAGGCACAGAGAGGGUAAGCGACUUGCCCACGGCACACAGCUGGUAAGUGACCAAGCUAGAACUCUCUACAGGCAGCCUGACUGCAAGGCCUGCAUUCCUUUAUACCACACUUUCCAGGAUUCUGACUACCUUCGUCCGUCUGUGUGGAUGUUGGUGGGAGCUGGAAUUCGUAGAGGAAGGUUGUCUGGUAAUGAGGUUUCACUGCCGCAGCCUCAGGCACAGCCAUCUUCCUGAACAUCUAGGUCCCUGCCAGCAUUAUCUGCUUUCAGAUUUCUCCCUCUCUGCCUAUCCAAACUGUGGUUAGCAUCAGCUAUGAACAAUGAUCCAGUAUUUUCUGUGUGGCAGGCAUGGUUCUAGGCAUCUUACAAAGAGCUCUGAUCCCUAUGGUAUUGUCAUCUCCCCACAAAGACGGAAGGCUCAGAGACGUUAAGCGGCUUGUUCAAAUCCCACAGUGACUGGCAGGCCUGCCACUUUCAUUCU